GAUGGCGGCCAUAGGUCCUAGGGCACACCCGAUCCCAUUCCGAACUCGGAAGUUAAAAGCUGCUGGAGUCAUUCCACGGGCUGACGUAUGCUAGGAUCGUUGCAGAAGAUGUUCGCUGCGCGAGCGCGUGACAGGUCUGCAAGCUGCCACUA
rnacentral:rRNA from 1 species